GGAUGACUGUUGGGGCCUAUUUCUAGGUGCUGAUGGUCCAAUUUUGUCGAAGACACUAGUGGACCUCUAAGGUCAGUGCUCCUGAGCAUAUUUUAGGGCAAAAUUUUUCGCCUCUUAUGGUAAAUCGUCAACGGGCCUGUUGAAAAUGUAAUUUGUUGACAUGCCCACCUUCAUUUCCCUUUUAACAGGGCUACAUUCCUUUCUUUGCCUUUGGGAGUAUGCUGGUGUUGGGGUUGAUUGAUAUUGACAUUUGUCCAGAUAAUUUCUUCUUCAGAAGCCUCCUCUUGUCGAUUUCUACCAUGAGAAGCGUAGUGGCUAGAACUCAUGAUAACUUCUAACGAUACCUUUCCAGUGUCCUCAAUUGUUCUUUCUUCAAGAACAAGGACCUUUCUUCAAGGUUGGUGAAAAGUAUAUUUUAUAGAUUUAUUUGGACAAAAAAUAUAGACAUUUAAUAAUUUUUAAAGUAAUUAUAUCCUAAUUUAUUGUAUAUUUUAUUUUUAGUUAAAACUUGAUGAUUGGAAGUGAAUUGAAAGAAAUAAGUGAAAAAUGACAAUGUACAAAGUCUAAGAACCAAAUUGGAAAUUACCAAUGGUUGAUUUGAACUAUAAGACAAUACUUUGAAGAUUGCUAGGAGUUAAUUGGAUACAAUUAAAAACAAAAAUGGAUGGAAUAUGGUCAAAAUAUUAUCAUGAAUCAACUUCUAAUUGCACAAGUUAUAUUCUAGAUUUUUAACCAAAGAUUGAGACCCAUUUUUGACAUAAUAAAUGUCAGAACUAGAAAAAUUCUACAAGAGCAAAGUUGUAGCACUAUUAGUUAGCUUUUCAGUGCAUAUUGAAUAGCCUCAAUCGGAUAUUGGGAGAGAAAAUUAGGACCAAAAUACUGACUGUUGUCAGAGACAAAACAUGCGUGCAUAAAGAUAACUUUCCUUAUUCGAUUGGAACUCUUUUGGAAAUCAAUUUGGACGUAAAUGUCCAAAAAAAAUCUCUAACAGUAGAAUGCAUUAAAGGACCACUCAUACACCUCUCAUAUACAUAUUAUACUCCAUUAUUCAUCAAUUAUUAUCAUCAAAUGAGACAAAAUUCAUAGUUUUCAUGAGAUAAUUGAAUGGAAUUUACAAGAAUUCAAUCAAGUGAAAAUUAAAGAUUGAUUUUUGGGCAAAGAAGAGAAGCACAAGUGGAGAUUCAUUAAGAAAUCAUUGACGAGAUUCAAGAUUUCAAGAUUCAUCAUCUUCUCGAUUU
rnacentral:lncRNA from 1 species